rnacentral:rRNA from 1 species
UUAAGCGACUAAGCGUACACGGUGGAUGCCCUGGCAGUCAGAGGCGAUGAAGGACGUGCUAAUCUGCGAAAAGCGUCGGUAAGGUGAUAUGAACCGUUAUAACCGGCGAUGUCCGAAUGGGGAAACCCAGUGCAAUUCGUUGCACUAUCGUUAACUGAAUACAUAGGUUAACGAGGCGAACCGGGGGAACUGAAACAUCUAAGUACCCCGAGGAAAAGAAAUCAACCGAGAUUCCCCCAGUAGCGGCGAGCGAACGGGGAGCAGCCCAGAGUCUGAAUCAGCUUGUGUGUUAGUGGAACGGUCUGGAAAGUCCGACGGUACAGGGUGAUAGUCCCGUACACCAAAAUGCACAGGUUGUGAACUCGAAGAGUAGGGCGGGACACGUGGUAUCCUGUCUGAAUAUGGGGGGACCAUCCUCCAAGGCUAAAUACUCCUGACUGACCGAUAGUGAACCAGUACCGUGAGGGAAAGGCGAAAAGAACCCCGGCGAGGGGAGUGAAAAAGAACCUGAAACCGUGUACGUACAAGCAGUGGGAGCACCUUCGGGUGUGACUGCGUACCUUUUGUAUAAUGGGUCAGCGACUUAUAUUCUGUAGCAAGGUUAACCGUAUAGGGGAGCCGCAGGGAAACCGAGUCUUAACUGGGCGUUAAGUUGCAGGGUAUAGACCCGAAACCCGGUGAUCUAGCCAUGGGCAGGUUGAAGGUUGGGUAACACUAACUGGAGGACCGAACCGACUAAUGUUGAAAAAUUAGCGGAUGACUUGUGGCUGGGGGUGAAAGGCCAAUCAAACCGGGAGAUAGCUGGUUCUCCCCGAAAGCUAUUUAGGUAGCGCCUCGUGAAUUCAUCUUCGGGGGUAGAGCACUGUUUCGGCUAGGGGGUCAUCCCGACUUACCAACCCGAUGCAAACUACGAAUACCGAAGAAUGUUAUCACGGGAGACACACGGCGGGUGCUAACGUCCGUCGUGAAGAGGGAAACAACCCAGACCGCCAGCUAAGGUCCCAAAGUCAUGGUUAAGUGGGAAACGAUGUGGGAAGGCACAGACAGCCAGGAUGUUGGCUUAGAAGCAGCCAUCAUUUAAAGAAAGCGUAAUAGCUCACUGGUCGAGUCGGCCUGCGCGGAAGAUGUAACGGGGCUAAACCAUGCACCGAAGCUGCGGCAGCGACACUAUGUGUUGUUGGGUAGGGGAGCGUUCUGUAAGCCUGCGAAGGUGACCUGUGAGGGUUGCUGGAGGUAUCAGAAGUGCGAAUGCUGACAUAAGUAACGAUAAAGCGGGUGAAAAGCCCGCUCGCCGGAAGACCAAGGGUUCCUGUCCAACGUUAAUCGGGGCAGGGUGAGUCGACCCCUAAGGCGAGGCCGAAAGGCGUAGUCGAUGGGAAACAGGUUAAUAUUCCUGUACUUGGUGUUACUGCGAAGGGGGGACGGAGAAGGCUAUGUUAGCCGGGCGACGGUUGUCCCGGUUUAAGCAUGUAGGCUGAUUGUCCAGGCAAAUCCGGAUAAUCAAGGCUGAGGUGUGAUGACGAGGCACUACGGUGCUGAAGUAACAAAUGCCCUGCUUCCAGGAAAAGCCUCUAAGCAUCAGGUAACAUCAAAUCGUACCCCAAACCGACACAGGUGGUCAGGUAGAGAAUACCAAGGCGCUUGAGAGAACUCGGGUGAAGGAACUAGGCAAAAUGGUGCCGUAACUUCGGGAGAAGGCACGCUGGUGUGUAGGUGAAGCCCCUGCGGGUGGAGCUGAGACCAGUCGAAGAUACCAGCUGGCUGCAACUGUUUAUUAAAAACACAGCACUGUGCAAACACGAAAGUGGACGUAUACGGUGUGACGCCUGCCCGGUGCCGGAAGGUUAAUUGAUGGGGUUAUCCGUAAGGAGAAGCUCUUGAUCGAAGCCCCGGUAAACGGCGGCCGUAACUAUAACGGUCCUAAGGUAGCGAAAUUCCUUGUCGGGUAAGUUCCGACCUGCACGAAUGGCGUAAUGAUGGCCAGGCUGUCUCCACCCGAGACUCAGUGAAAUUGAACUCGCUGUGAAGAUGCAGUGUACCCGCGGCAAGACGGAAAGACCCCGUGAACCUUUACUAUAGCUUGACACUGAACAUUGAGCCUUGAUGUGUAGGAUAGGUGGGAGGCUUUGAAGCGUGGACGCCAGUCUGCGUGGAGCCAACCUUGAAAUACCACCCUUUAAUGUUUGAUGUUCUAACGUUGGCCCCUUACCGGGGUUGCGG